AACAUGGAAUUCGUCAAUAGAAACAGGCACAACUGACUCAACAGAAUUGUUCCUUCUGGUUUCAACAUCGUGCAGUCUUCUGGUGUUUUUAUUAUCAAUUGCAUCAUUAAUAUACUGCCAUCAAAAGCUUACAACUCUAAAAGUAACAGAAACUAAAACCCAACAAAAUAAUCUAUAUAGUGUAGAGGAAGUUAAUACAGAUGAAAAUAUUGAAAACGAGCCUGAUGAGACUCCAGAUGAUCCUAUUUAUAACAGCUAUGAAGAACCUUGUUACAGCAUUCUCAAGCUAAAGGUUAACCGAUCAUCUUUGUGUGUAAUGGAACAGCCUUGAAGCUUCAUGCAGUUUUAAUGA